GAUGAACGCUGGCGGCGUGCCUAAUACAUGCAAGUCGAACGCUCAAAGAAAGAGCUUGCUCUCUCCAGAUGAGUGGCGAACGGGUGAGUAACGCGUAAGCAACCUGCCCGGCAGAGGGGGAUAACUAUUGGAAACGAUAGCUAAUACCGCAUACCAUUAGAUAUUGCAUGAUAUCGGCUUGAAAGGGGCAAAUGCAUCACUACCAUAUGGACCAGCGAUGUAAUAGCUACUUAGUGUGGAAACGGAUCACCAACGCGACAAUACAUAAACGAUCUGAGAGGGGGAUCAGACACUCAGCGACUGAGUACGACGACCCAGACUCCUACCGGACGCCAUACAGAAGGAAUCUUCGGCGAUGCUGCGAACCCUGACAGAGCAACGACCGCAUGACUGAACAAGGUUUUACGGACGUCUAAGCUAUGUUGUAACACAAUAACCAGUGACGAAGAGGAAAGUUCACACUGUGACGGUAUCUUACCAGAACCGGACUGCUAACUACGUGCCAACUACCGCGCUAAUACGUAGGUCCCCAGCGUUAUCCAGAUUUAUUGCGCAGUUAUCGAGCGCAAGCGCUCAGAUAAGUCUCGAUUCAAACGCUGUGACUUAACCGUGCUCGCUUUGGAAACUGUUCAGCUUGAGUGUCGAAGGGGAGAGUGGAAUUCCAUGUGUAGCGGUGAAAUGCGUAGAUAUAUGGAGGAACACCGGUGGCGAAAGCGGCUCUCUGGACUGUAACUGACGCUGAGGCUCGAAAGCCUGGGGAGCAAACGGGAUUAGAUACCCUGGUAGUCCUGGCCGUAAACGAUGAGUGCUAGGUGUAGGGUCCUUUCCGGGACUCUGUGCCGCAGCUAACGCAUUAAGCACUCCGCCUGGGGAGUACGGACCGCAAGGUUGAAACUCAAAGGAAUUGACGGGGGCCCGCACAAGCGGUGGAGCAUGUGGUUUAAUUCGAAGCAACGCGAAGAACCUUACCAGGUCUUGACAUCCCUCUGACAGCUCUAGAGAUAGAGUUCUCCUUCGGGACAGAGGCGACAGGUGGUGCAUGGUUGUCGUCAGCUCGUGUCGUGAGAUGUUGGGUUAAGUCCCGCAACGAGCGCAACCCCUAUUGUAUGUUGCCAUCAUUUAGUGGGGCAUUCUAGCGAGACUCCGCGUACUAAACCGGAGGAAGGGGGGGAGGAGGUCAAAUCACCAUCCCCCUUAUGACCUGGGCUCCCCACGUGCUCCAAGGGCUGGUACAGAGAGUAGCAAGUCGGUGACGGCAAGCUAAUCUCAGAAACCCAGUCUCAGUUCGGAUUGUAGGCUGCAACUCGCCUACAUGAAGUCGGAAUCGCUAGUAAUCGCGGAUCAGCACGCCGCGGUGAAUACGUUCCCGGGCCU
rnacentral:rRNA from 1 species